GGCCAGUGCUGAGCCCAACCCAGCCUGUCCAGGGUCAUUCGCAAAGAAGCAGGACGAGGGAAGAGAUUAUUCCUGGCUCCUCUUGGAAAUGAUCCCAGAGUGUCAGUGACUGCUGGGUGCCACAGCUGGCUGCAGGUGGGUUUUUAACAGCCCUGCAAGCACAUGUGUUUGUGGCUAUGCCUUGGGCAGGGACUGCUGCAGGAACUCUCUCAGGAGGUUUCAAGAAGUGGAUUCACUUUCGAGUCCCCAAGCUCCACCUGGGCGCUCUGUGUGAUGUGUGCCUCUGAAAGGAGCAACCCAAACUUUCCUGAAUACCAUGUCCAUGCCAGAUGACCAGUUCUCUUAGCCACAGACAUCUUUCUGUGAAACAAUACUGAAGUGAAUGCUUCUGAAGACUCCAUCCAUGUGUUAAGCCUGAUGAUAGAGGCCUCAGUGCUGACAUCGGAUUUCAGAUGCUGGAAAGACAGAGUUUUUCUCACUUGUACUUCCCAAGACCACUUGAACUUUUGUCUAAUACUGCUGAUAGACUUCAAAGGCAAUUUAAGCAAUCUGUGAAGCAGCAAGAGAUGCCACUGGAUUCCCUUACUGCCUCUCUUUCAGAAAGAACCGGGAAUAAAUAGGCCUUAGCCUGUCAUACUGGUGUGAAAUAAUACUUCUUUUUAAGUGCAAAUGUUUUUGUUUCCUGUUGAUAUGAUAGUCAUGACAAGGAUCAAUCCAAAAGAGUAUUUCCUCUCUCCAAAGGAAAUUUUCAUCCUAACAUAUGAAAGCAUGAGCUUUAUUUUCAUGGCUAAAAUUUCUUGAGUUGUUUCUGGAUUAAUUUCCCACAAAUCAAGAAAAUGGUUUUCGUCUCAAAUCAUUCCUUGGCCUACAUGUUGUGUGAAGCACAAGGGACAAAGGUGUUUUUCUAAGACGAAAAUAAUCAGAUUUAAAAUAAUUAAUUUUCAAAUUUUAGUAGCACUCCAGUUGAAGCCACCAGUUGAUUUCAUAGCAGUUGUUGGGUGAUAGCUUGGAAAAGAACAAAUUAAACUGGUGGCAUAAAUAGAAAGUUUCAUCUCCCAUUGAUAUAUAGCCUUCAUAGUGCUGAUCUGCUUUACUGAUAAUGAGGGUAAUCUAUACAUUAAUGUUUUUUGACUCUUAAUGAUUCACGCUAAAUGUGCAUUGAGAGGUACUGGUAGGUUCCACUUUUAUAGGUGUCUAGGAAUUAACAGUGAGUUUUGUGUCCCAUUCCCCCUCUCUACAAUGGGGAUGUUUCCAUGUAAAGAAACUCCAGAUUUUGACUUCAGAAAGAGCUCCUGCUUCAGACCACAGCAGUAAGCUGACAGCCUUGGCUGGGGUCAGGUUCAUUCAGGAGAUUCCUGCCAGGUACACUUCAACAGUGUCAAAAAAAAAGGUGGGAGGAAAAGAGUAUUUAAGAAUAUAUUCUGGUGGACCACUGGCACUUAUCAUGAUAAAUAAUUUUCCCAUUGGUUGCUAACAAUUUGAUAACUAUAUUAAAUAAGUGCAAAUAUAGAAAGAUUAAACCAUUUAGACACAUUUACUUAUCAUUGAAAGGCAUUGUUUUUACUAAUUGUAGUUUUCCUGUAUGCUGGCCUCAUAUUCCUUAGUAGCAAAAUUAAUGUUUGCAUUGUCAUGCAUCCAUCAAAGAGAUUCAUACUGCAAUCAGGAAUUAAUUUUUCUCUUUAGGUAUUGAAGAGAAGGAAGUGAGAGUGUGUGCAAGAGCCAAAUUCAACACUAGACCUGAAUUCUAACUCUUGGUAUUUAGAAGAGCAAACAAUAAAACACUCAAAUUGUUCCAAACACACAAUGUGAAUUUACCUCCGAACUCUUCAAAAUGCAAUAUAAUUGUAUUGAAUUUGAGCUGGAUUGUAUAAUGAAUUAUCAUUUAUUUGAACAAUGUGAAGGGGUAAACCCGAGGAAAAUAAAACCCCCUACAUUCAUUUCUUUACUGGAGCAUCUUUUGGCUUCUUAGGUCCUUUUGUCCAGACCUCCUUGCUUUGUGAGCCCCAGAGAGUAUCUUAGUGUUAAGGGUCAUCUUGCCUGUUCAGCUCUCACUGGUGUCACUGGUAAGCAGCCUUUUGGCAUCCUCCUUCUGCCUGGGCUCCUGCUGGGUACCCCAUGGCCUUCCUCUAGCAGCAAUCCUUCGGUUCUUUAUUUAACUCCU